rnacentral:misc_RNA from 1 species
GAUGAAGAACGUAGCGAAAUGCGAUAAGUAAUGUGAAUUGCAGAAUUCAGUGAAUCAUCGAAUCUUUGAACGCACAUUGCGCCCGCUAGUAUUCUGGCGGGCAUGCCUGUCCGAGCGUCAUUUCAACCCUCAAGCCCCCGGGCUUGGUGUUGGGGAUCGGCGAGCCUCCGCGCCCGCCGUCCCCUAAAUCUAGUGGCGGUCUCGCUGUAGCUUCCUCUGCGUAGUAGCACACCUCGCACUGGGAAACAGCGCGGCCACGCCGUUAAACCCCCAACUUCUGAACGUUUGACCUCGGAUCAGGUAGGAAUACCCGCUGAACUUUAGCAUAUCAAUAAGCGGAGGA